rnacentral:rRNA from 1 species
CCUACGGGAGGCAGCAGUGGGGAAUAUUGCACAAUGGGGGAAACCCUGAUGCAGCGACGCCGCGUGAGUGAAGAAGUCAUUCGUUAUGUAAAGCUCUAUUAGCAGGGAAGAAAAUGACGGUACCUGAGUACGCAUCCCCGGCUAACUACGUUCCAGCAGCCGCGGUAAUACGUAGGGGGCAAGCGUUAUCCUGAUUUACUGGGGGUAAAGGGAGCGUAGACGGCAGUGCAAGUCUGGAGUGAAAGGCGGGGGCUCAACCACCGGUCUGCAGUGGAAACUGUACGGCUGGAGUGCAGGAGAGGUAAGUGGAAUUCCUAGUGUAGCGGUGAAAUGCGUAGAUAUUAGGAGGAACACCAGUGGCGAAGGCAGCUUACUGGACUGUAACUGACAUUGAGGCUCGAAAGCGUGGGUAGCAAACAGGAUUAGAUACCCGAGUAGUC